rnacentral:lncRNA from 1 species
AUUAGCAAUAACUUAACCUAAAGAAAAAUAUUCUAAUAGCAAACCUUAAGUGCUUAGUUUGUGCCAGUUAUUAUUUUAAGCAAUUUUUAUACAUUAUGUCAUUUCAUCCUUACAACAACCCCAUAUGCUAGGAACUAGUUAUAUUCCCAUUUUAUAUAUGAGGAAAUGAGGUACAGAGAAAAUUUAAUGAUUUGCAAGGUUACCACCACUGUUAAGUACUGGAAAAUUUGAACCCAUGUAGCCUGUCUCUUGUACUACUAUACUUUGUAGGGACUCCAAAUACAAUCUUACUCGUUUAAUGCUUAACAACAGUAGAAUUUAUAUUGGUUAGGUAAAUUACAGACCUCCUCAGUUUUACUUAAUAGAAUUAUUUGUAAAACUAGCUUAUUUAUGAGACAGAGUCUUGUUCUGUCACCCAAGCUGGAGUGCAGUGGCACAAUCUCAGGUCACUGCAACCACCGCCUCCCAUGUUCAAACAAUUCUCCUGCCUCAGCCCCCAGAGUAGCUGGGAUUACAAGUGUGUGCCACCACGCCCAGCUCAUUUUUGUAUUUUUAGUAGAGACUGGGUUUUACCACGUUGGCCAGGCUGGUCUUGAACUCCUGACCUCAAGUGAUCUGCCCUCCUCGGCCUCCCAAAGUGCUGGGAUUACAGGUGUGAGCCACCACACCUGGCCAAAACUAGUUUAUAUACGGACCAGGUGAAUGGUCCAUAUAUAAAUCAUAAAUGAUUCCUCAACACUCAUGAGUGAAAAAAGUAUGAAAUAAUCCCUGUCAUACUUACAUUUGCCUGUGAGUACUUCAUGGCAAAUGUCUUAAUCUGUUUGAUGUAGAUGUUGUUGUAGAACUGAAUGAGGUCUCCCCUCUCCUCUUCUUCCAUGUCACUGUUGGCACCUGUGAGGCGAGUAGGUGUGGGAGGAGCACUGCUGGGCUGUGGAACUGGCAAGGUGCUGCUUGACCUCAUAACUGGACUGGAGUCUCUACUGGCUGCAGCCAGGAGAACAAAGGCUGUCAGUACAAAGGCUGCUAAUAUUGACUGUUUUAAUUUUUUAAAAGUAGGAGAAAGGGAACAGCUACCUGCACUACUUGCUAAUAACAGUGAAUAGGCACUCUGUUCUUCACACCAAAAAGCAAAGCUCAGCUAGGAUAUUAACUUUCUCCCUAUGCCAUAACCAUAGCAAGGGCUUUCUGAGUAGUGUCCAUUAAUAAGUUACACCAAAUUUUCUAGGACCUAAGCCCUGUACUAAGUGGUACAAAGCAACAGGCAGGGGAUGGUAUUUCCAUAGCAUGGUUCCAAUUGACAUAUCAGACCUUUCUGGAACUCAGGCAAGCAGAUUCCUCCCUGAAAGCUCUAAUUCUCCUGGAGAAAAAUGUUACAUAAUAUGUGCCCCAAAGCUAUGUAAUGGACAGUUUUGCCAGCUAGAAUAUGGUUUACUGAUCUAUAAAACACUUUCAUAGUUUCUAUAGUUAUUUCAUUUAGUAAUGCUUAGUUACUUCUUCAAGGCCUAAAAAGUAAGAAAAGCUCCUAAUUUUGUCUUGUAGUUCACAAAGAUCCCACUUACUUCUAUCUUUGUUUAGUUCUGUUGGAGAAUUCUGAUGGCUUCUGCUAUCACUGCUGCCAGAAUUUCUUCUUUUUCUUUUCCCUUUUAUCAAAACACUUCUAUACACCUUUAGAGAAACAAUGAGAAGGGGACAUAAACUAGUAUUUGUUGAGCACACCCUUGGUGAUAGGACCUUCACAUAUGUUACUUGGUUUUCACAAUAACCUGUAUAGCAAUAGUUGUCCUCAGAACAGGUUGAGAAACAUAACUCAAAUUAUAACAGAUCCAGGAUUCAAUCAGAGCCCAUCUAGCAUCACAUGCCAAGUACUACCUGCAGUACUACACUGCAGUGACAGCACCCAACCAUAAUGUCAAGUCAUUCUAAGUAAGAUACACAGAUCUGGCCGAUUUGCCUCUCAGAGAUGAAUGGUAAUAAAGGCAAAGUGGGUUUUAAAUUUCCAUGUGACAUUCUGUUGGUUAAACCUACAGUAUGUUUACUAAACCAGAAUGAAAGGUGACAUAGAAACCAAGUAACUUCUUAAUUCCUAUCUUGUGAUUUUUCUGAAUUAAGAAGGCAAUCAAAUAUUUAACAUUGUUGCCUUUUGAGGAAAAGAGACCUUAAUCAACAUGUGACAUCAAGAAUAAAGAUUAAAGUAGAAACUUCCCUUAAGUAGAGUCCCAGGUGUUUAUCUUGGAAAAAAGGCCACAGAGUCAACUAUGGUUAAUUUUUUGUAUUCAUCACAGACUUUAAGCUUUAUUUUUCAGCCCAUAGAGAAAAUGUAGUUACCUGGCUCCGGGCCUGCGGCUGAGUCCUAUAACAACGCAUAAUGUUCUGGAAGGACUUAUCUUCUUUUGUGACCUGGCAAACAAUAAGAGUGCUCUGAGAGACAUGGCAACUACCACCAUAAUAGUGUGAGGAGCUCUGUGAACCUGCUGCCCAGUAAAAGGGGUGAAAAUUAUAUAAAAGCUAUUUAAAGUCUCUGGAAAUGGUAUUAACGGCAUAUAGCAAAUGAAGAUACAUCGAUUCAAGAAUAUCUAUUAAAAUUCAAUAAAAAC